rnacentral:rRNA from 1 species
GAUGAACGCUGGCGGCGUGCCUAAUACAUGCAAGUCGAGCGAACAGACGAGGAGCUUGCUCCUCUGACGUUAGCGGCGGACGGGUGAGUAACACGUGGAUAACCUACCUAUAAUACUGGGAUAACUUCGGGAAACCGGAGCUAAUACCGGAUAAUAUAUUGAACCGCAUGGUUCAAUAGUGAAAGACGGUUUUGCUGUCACUUAUAGAUGGAUCCGCGCCGCAUUAGCUAGUUGGUAAGGUAACGGCUUACCAAGGCAACGAUGGGUAGACGACCUGAGAGCGUGAUCGGCCACACUGGAACUGAGACACAGUCAAGACUACUACGGGAGGCAGCAGUAGGGAAUCGUCCGCAAUGGGCGAAAGCAUGACGGAACAACGCCGCGUGAGUGAUGAAGGUCUUAGGAUCGUAAAACUCUGUUAUUAGGGAAGAACAAAUGUGUAAGUAACUAUGAACGUCUUGACGGUACCUAAUCAGAAAGCCACGGCUAACUACGUG